GAAUAUUGCACAAUGGGCGCAAGCCUGAUGCAGCCAUGCCGCGUGUAUGAAGAAGGCCUUCGGGUUGUAAAGUACUUUCAGCGGGGAGGAAGGUGUUGAGGUUAAUAACCUCAGCAAUUGACGUUACCCGCAGAAGAAGCACCGGCUAACUCCGUGCCAGCAGCCGCGGUAAUACGGAGGGUGCAAGCGUUAAUCGGAAUUACUGGGCGUAAAGCGCACGCAGGCGGUCUG
rnacentral:rRNA from 1 species